AAUCCCAUUCCUUCGUCAGCUCCGACAGACCAACCAGCAUCCCCCUCCCACUUGCCACUUUGAUAGGGGUGACUGGUAUCUCCAUCUCCUUAUCUUUGUUGAUCAUGUUUCUGGGUUUCCAAUUGCGUCAAUUUAACUGGUUGCCAAUAAUUCUGUCAUCUGAGGGGAAAGCAGAAUCUCAACUGAACAUGCAGAUGUCCUAUUGAGACUUUGCCCAUAAGGGAGCGUCUUUGGUGCUUAAAAUUCCAUCUUUUGGACCUCAUAUCAGUUGAUGUUUUUAGUUGCAUCGGAAACCAACUCUAAGUGAUUUAAGCAGGAGAGAAAGUUAUUUAAGGAUAUUUAUAGUUCACAGAAUCUCUGGAGGAGCGGGGGGCUAGAAAACCAGACUUGAAGACUACACAGAGAGACUCCGAGUCCCCCUGGGACUGACCUGAGAUGACCAGGGAGCUGGUAUUUUUAGCUUCCAGAGGAGCCUCAAAAUUACAGUUAAGUCUACAGUCAGACAGAAGGAAACUGGCAUUUAUUAAACACCAACUUUGUGCCUGGAAGAUUCACUUACAAUAUCAUAAUCUUUACAAUAA
rnacentral:lncRNA from 1 species